AGAGGAGCCGGAGAUCUAUGCAAAAUAUGUCAUAAUUCUGAAUCACAUAUCUUGAUCGAUGCCUUGACUUCAAAGCAUCAAAAUUUUGCCUUGGAACACUAAAAUGUUCAUUAUUAUAAUCAAACCUUAUAGAGACAUUUCGAUAUGCACGCAAUAUGAGAUCAAGAAAUGCAUGCACAGGAUGGUUAUUUUUCAGAAUGUUUGAACCUAUGAACAUGAUGCAUUAUGUCACAGAAUACACAACUGAUUAUUUAAGGAAAUUACAAUGGGUAUACAACACAUCACAACAGGUCAUGUCAGAACAAAUAACAGGGUAUCUAGACACCUUCAUAGAUGUUACCAUGAUAACACAGGCGCAUAUGUCUGACUACACCAGAAACUACUUUCAAGUCCUAUCAGACACAUCUUACAAAGCCAAUGAGUAUACAAAGUUUUACUGGAAAUCAGCCCUUGACUUCAAUAGUCUACUUAUGCACAUAAUGAAACAUCACAUAGAUGAUCUAGUUCAUCCGGUGUUACAACAGACAACAGAUGCAGCAACAUACACGUACAACAAUGUAGUUCUGCCAGUUUACAUUGAGGAUCUAGUUCAUCCGGUAUUACAACAGACAACAGAUAUAACAACAUACACGUACACCAAUGUAGUUCUCCCAGCUGUAGAAUAUACUUUAGAUUCCAUUGUCAACUUCAUUUCAUUCUCAGAAAACAAAUGAAAGUUUACAGAAGUCUUUUGGUUCAUUCCAUAUGGCAAAAAGACACGACAUCAGUUGAAAUGGAAGAGGUCAACAGACGGCUUAAAAGAAAUAAAGGAACUAGAAUUCCCAAAACAAUUUCUCGUCUUGAGAAUCUUUACAAAUUAAUGGAUAAAUGUUUUGAUAAGCGGACUCGGCUAUUGGACGAGAUUAACUUUUGGUGCCCAGUAAUCAUGGCCCAGGAAAAGAAGUUGAGGAUGGCUAAUAAAGCUAAUGAAGACAAUGGCGAGAACAGGAGAGUUGUACAAAUUAGGAAUCUUGGGAACC